rnacentral:rRNA from 1 species
ACGUGCCAGAGUAUGGGCGUCCCGUUAGUGGGUGAGGUGUACAAGAUGGUGCAUGGCUGUAGUCGGCUCGUGUCGUGAGAUGUUGGGUUAAGUGAAGCAAAGAGAGCAACCGAUGUCCGGUGUUGCCAGCAGGACCUUGUGGUGCUGGGGACUCACGGGAGGUCGCCGGGGUCAACUCGGAGGAAGGUGGGGACGACGUCAAGUCAUCAUGCACCUUAUGUGUUGGGCUGCACACGUGCUACAAUGGCCGGUAGAAUGAGGGGUGAUACCGCGAGGUGGAGCGAAUCUCAAAAAGCCGGUCUCAGUUCGGAUUGGGGUGUGCAACUGGACCCCAUGAAGUCGGAGUCGCUAGUAAUCGCAGAUCAGCAUUGCUGCGGUGAAUACGUUCCCGGGCCUUGUACACACCGCCCGUCAUGUCACGAAAGUCGGUGACACCCGAAGC